GACAGAGGGUGCAAACGUUGUUCGGAAUUACUGGGCGUAAAGCGCGUGUAGGCGGCCCUGCAAGUCGGAUGUGAAAUCCCACGGCUCAACCGUGGAAGUGCAUUCGAAACUGCAGGGCUAGAGUCCUGGAGAGGAGGGUGGAAUGCUUGGUGUAGAGGUGAAAUUCGUAGAUAUCAAGCGGAACACCGGUGGCGAAGGCGGCCUUCUGGACAGUGACUGACGCUGAGACGCGAAAGCGUGGGGAGCAAACAGG
rnacentral:rRNA from 1 species